GAAUCUGGCUUAUGGAGGGGGAUAACGACGGGAAACUGUCGCUAAUACCGCGUAGAAUCGAGAGAUGAAAGUGCGGGACCGCAAGGCCGCAUGCCAUAGGAUGAGCCCAAGUGGGAUUAGGUAGUUGGUGGGGUAAAGGCCUACCAAGCCGACGAUCUCUAGCUGGUCUGAGAGGAUGACCAGCCACACCGGGACUGAGACACGGCCCGGACUCCUACGGGAGGCAGCAGUGGGGAAUAUUGCGCAAUGGGGGCAACCCUGACGCAGCCAUGCCGCGUGAAUGAAGAAGGCCUUCGGGUUGUAAAGUUCUUUCGGUGACGAGGAAGGUUGUUGUGUUAAUAGCACAACAAAUUGACGUUAAUCACAGAAGAAGCACCGGCUAACUCCGUGCCAGCAGCCGCGGUAAUACGGAGGGUGCGAGCGUUAAUCGGAAUAACUGGGCGUAAAGGGCACGCAGGCGGGCUUUUAAGUGAGGUGUGAAAUCCCCGGGCUUAACCUGGGAAUUGCAUUUCAGACUGGGUAGCUAGAGUACUUUAGGGAGGGGUAGAAUUCCACGUGUAGCGGUGAAAUGCGUAGAGAUGUGGAGGAAUACCGAAGGCGAAGGCAGCCCCUUGGGAAUGUACUGACGCUCAUGUGCGAAAGCGUGGGGAGCAAACAGGAUUAGAUACCCUGGUAGUCCACGCUGUAAACGCUGUCGAUUUGGGGAUUGGGCUUUAAGCUUGGUGCCCGUAGCUAACGUGAUAAAUCGACCGCCUGGGGAGUACGGCCGCAAGGUUAAAACUCAAAUGAAUUGACGGGGGCCCGCACAAGCGGUGGAGCAUGUGGUUUAAUUCGAUGCAACGCGAAGAACCUUA
rnacentral:rRNA from 1 species